CUGGUAGGACAUUGUAGCAGAUAUUUUUGUGUGCUUCACUUAAGACUAACUGUAGGUGGCAUAGUUAAAGGUUGUCCAAGACCAAAAUGUCAAGCCUGGUGAUAUACAAAGAAAUGCAGAGGAA